rnacentral:siRNA from 1 species
AUUUUACAAGGAUUUUUAGACAUA